GACGAACGCUGGCGGCGUGCUUAACACAUGCAAGUCGAACGGAAAGGCCCUGCUUUUGUGGGGUGCUCGAGUGGCGAACGGGUGAGUAACACGUGAGUAACCUGCCCUUGACUUUGGGAUAACUUCAGGAAACUGGGGCUAAUACCGGAUAGGAGCUCCUGCUGCACGGUGGGGGUUGGAAAGUUUCGGCGGUUGGGGAUGGACUCGCGGCUUAUCAGCUUGUUGGUGGGGUAGUGGCUUACCAAGGCUUUGACGGGUAGCCGGCCUGAGAGGGUGACCGGCCACAUUGGGACUGAGAUACGGCCCAGACUCCUACGGGAGGCAGCAGUGGGGAAUAUUGCACAAUGGGCGGAAGCCUGAUGCAGCAACGCCGCGCGCGGGAUGACAGCCUUCGGGUUGUAAACCGCUUUCGCCUGUGACGAAGCGUGAGUGACGGUAAUGGGUAAAGAAGCACCGGCUAACUACGUG
rnacentral:rRNA from 1 species